rnacentral:rRNA from 1 species
UACAGAGGGUGCAAGCGUUAAUCGGAAUUACUGGGCGUAAAGCGCGCGUAGGUGGUUCGUUAAGUUGGAUGUGAAAUCCCCGGGCUCAACCUGGGAACUGCAUUCAAAACUGUCGAGCUAGAGUAUGGUAGAGGGUGGUGGAAUUUCCUGUGUAGCGGUGAAAUGCGUAGAUAUAGGAAGGAACACCAGUGGCGAAGGCGACCACCUGGACUGAUACUGACACUGAGGUGCGAAAGCCGUGGGGAGCAAACAGG